CAAAUUUGUUGUCAUUGUUAUUUUCGUGAUGUUACGAAAAAGAAAAUAUAAAAAUUCUUCGACUUCAUUUCAAUUUGUCAAUGAUUUUCAACUACCUCUGUUGAACAUCAGUUGUUAUUCUGCCGAUGUCUACAACCAUAAGUUCCUGGUCGUAAGUAUGUGAAUUUUUUUAAAAUCCGAAAAAAUGUCGCAACGUAAAAAUAAACUCAAGGAUGUAACUAACAACACACCUUCAUUGUAAUCUAAAAUACCCACUUCCCUCUCAAAAUAAUUUGAACUAAUACAUUUACAGACGCCAUUUUUAUUAAGAAGAGUGAAAGUAGAGUUGUAAGCUCAAAUGUCGUUACAUGAUAGUUUAAAGUUUAGAGGGAAACAUGAAAUAUAAAAUUACUUUUCAAACUUAGCGUUUUUCUGAGGCACUUAUGACGAUUCUUCGUUUCCAGGGCCCCAUGAAGGUGAAACAACAAAAUUUGCUGUUAAUUGUUUGAACUCUUUUCUAUUAGCAUUUCAUUUACUUUCACAGAAGACCUACUUAUCUACCCCAGACGUAAGAGGUAUGUGCAAACUGUCUGGUUUAGUAUACCUGUGGCUGGAUUAAUCGAAGUUAGUCUACAGCAUCAGUUCCAGUUUUCUUUUAGUUUUGAGAUUAUUUUUUUCUUUGCUUUUAUUCAGAUUAUCAAAUAUACAACGGAAUAUUCAGCUGUCUCAAAACUUUCCAAAGAAAGAAUUGAAAAAAUUGAAAGAACUGAAAAAAUGGUAUUGUAUUAGCAACGCCUUGCAGAAAUUUUAUUUGCUUCGAAAAAAGAAAACUUUGAAGCUAAUGAAGAAGUAACAGGUGUCUCUUUUGAGAAACUAGCUGUAUAUGGAUUCUAUUAAGGUUCUCAUUUUUGUUAAAUGAAUAAAUAAGUCAACAUUCUAAUAUCCGA
rnacentral:lncRNA from 1 species